CGCCCUCACAUCUCCGCCGGUGUCCCCCAAGCCGCCGUCCUCCCACCGUCUCCGUCUCCCCCUCCCUUCGCUCCCCUCCCCUCCUUAGAGAGGAGAGGGAGAUCGACCAGCCAUGGCGGUGGCCUAGCGGCAGCUAGAUCUGCGAUGGCCGCAGGCACCUCUCCCUCCUCGCAAAGGCUAUAGGCUUUGCCGGUGUGGGACAGGAGGAUUUCUUCCUCACGUUGCUUCUGCUUGGCCGCGCGUGAGGAGAUGCCAUGGACGCUGAUGUAAAGCUCCGCUGCUCUGCCCCCCAUCCAGAUCCGCCCCCUUAUCUCUUCUCCUCUUCGAUCUGCCCUUCUUCCAUUUUCUUCCCUGAGGCAUGCAUUUUCUCUUGUUUCUCUUCCUCACACAGGCACCUGCACCACGAACUCUAUGCAAGGAGAGGAGUGAGGGUGCUGCAGGGAGGAAAGGGAAGAACGGGAUGCACCUGAGGAGCGAGGGUUUGCCAUCUUGGUUCCUGUUCGACCACGUUGCUUAUGGAUGGUGAGAAGAAGGAAGGUGCUGCAAGUGCCAGGGGAAGGGGUCGGAUGCUGCUGAAACCCUUGCUAUGAGGGUCUCUGUAUAGACCAAGCACCUACGGGUGAAAGGGACGUGAACCUUCAGAAAUCAAAUGUUUGGCGCCUGCGCGGCUCCGGCGCCUGCUGGAUGGUGCUCCUGGAACAAGACGGCGCGGAGGCCCUCCUCUUGCAGGAUGUGCUGACGCAGCGCACGCAGCAGCAUGUUUGGGACGAGCGCGAGCGUGAUGGCCUUGUCCCGACGAUGACGGCGGCGAACAUCAGUGCUCCUUCUCGUCCUCUAUCUCCAAGGACGCGCGCCGGUACAGCUCGGGCAACCCUGCCCCAAACGCCGACCACCCAUCUGGCGAUGUACAGGUCAUCCUCAUGUGUGUGGAUUCGCCUCCUGCUGGACUGAACACUUGCAAUGUGGACAUGGUGAUCCUCCUUUUCCCUCCCCCCUCUACCCAAAAUCUGGAUGACAUUUACAUCUGUACAUACAUACAUAUGUUUUAAUUUUGACUGAAACAAUCUGGAUGGCGCCUACAUCUAUAGAUAAAUAUGAAUAAGAACCAUGCUUUGGUUCAGUUUGUACAUAUCAAUUUGGUUUAAC